rnacentral:rRNA from 1 species
CACGUAGGCGGAUCGUUAAGUGAGGGGUGAAAUCCCGGGGCUCAACCCCGGAACUGCCUUUCAUACUGGCGAUCUGGAGUUCGAGAGAGGUGAGUGGAAUUCCGAGUGUAGAGGUGAAAUUCGUAGAUAUUCGGAGGAACACCAGUGGCGAAGGCGGCUCACUGGCUCGAUACUGACGCUGAGGUGCGAAAGCGUGGGGAGCAAACA